GACGAACGCUGGCGGCGUGCUUAACACAUGCAAGUCGAACGGAAAGGCCCUGCUUUUGUGGGGUGCUCGAGUGGCGAACGGGUGAGUAACACGUGAGUAACCUGCCCUUGACUUUGGGAUAACUUCAGGAAACUGGGGCUAAUACCGGAUAGGAGCUCCUGCUGCAUGGUGGGGGUUGGAAAUUUUCGGCGGUUGGGGAUGGACUCGCGGCUUAUCAGCUUGUUGGUGGGGUAGUGGCUUACCAAGGCUUUGACGGGUAGCCGGCCUGAGAGGGUGACCGGCCACAUUGGGACUGAGGUACGGCCCAGACUCCUACAGGAGGCAACAGGGGGGAAUAUUGCACAAUGGGCGGAAGCCUGAGGCAGCAACGCCGCGUGCGGGAUGACGGCCUUCGGGUUGUAAACCGCUUUCGCCUGUGACGAAGCGUGAGUGACGGUAAUGGAUAAAGAAGCACCGGCUAACUACGUG
rnacentral:rRNA from 1 species